rnacentral:tRNA from 1 species
GCGGAUGUGGUGAAAUUGGUAGACACGCCAGACUUAGGAUCUGGUGCCGAGAGGUAUGCGGGUUCGAGUCCCUCCAUCCGCA